ensembl:snoRNA
CUGCGUCCACAGAUGGAUUUUGAGUGGUCUGCUAUUCUGAUGAACUGCAUGAGGACACGGGAGGGACACAAACCCGUGCGUCCUGUCUCUGUGGUGGCCCUGACUGAACUGGGGAGCACAUCU